rnacentral:misc_RNA from 1 species
UCAAACUUGGUCAUUUAGAGGAAGUAAAAGUCGUAACAAGGUUUCCGUAGGUGAACCUGCGGAAGGAUCAUUACAAAUCCAACGUCUCUUGAGACAUGUUGAACUGUUUGCGUAAGGAUGAGUUUGUGUUUCAGGUGGUGGUGGUUGAGCAAAAGAGAGAGAGGUAUUCGUCUCUCUUGGCUCUCAUUGUCACUUGUCUUGUCACACAACUCUACCCUCACAAUCUCACACUCUAGUAUGAUUGUUGCAUGACAGAUGAAAUAACAACAAGAAUAACAAAAGAGAAACAACUUAUAACAAUGGAUCUCUAGGCUCUUGCAUCGAUGAAGAACGCAGC